ACGGAAGGCAGCAGUGGGGAAUAUUGCACAAUGGGCGCAAGCCUGAUGCAGCGAUGCCGCGUGAGGGAAGAAGGUUUUCGGAUUGUAAACCUCUGUCAUCGGGGACGCUAAUGACUGUACCCGAGAAGGAAGAUCCGGCUAAAUACGUGCCAGAAGCCGCGGUAAUACGUAGGGAGCGAGCGUUAUCCGGAAUUACUGGGUGUAAAGGGAGUGUAGGCGGGACGGUAAGUCAGAUGUGAAAUAUACCGGCUCAACUGGUAGACUUCAUUUGAAACUGCGGUUCUUGAGUGAAGUAGAUGUAAGCGGAAUUCCUAGUUUAGCGGUGAAAUGCGCAGAUAUUAGGAGGAACAUCAGUGGCGAAGGCGGCUUACUGGGCUUUAACUGACGCUGAGGCUCGAAAGCGUGGGGAGCAAACAGGAUUAGAUACCCUGGUA
rnacentral:rRNA from 1 species